GCAUAACCUAGGAUGUCCUCAGUACUCUCAAAUUGCUUGGCUAAAUCUGGAUCAGCUUCAUAAACUUUCUCCUCAAUAUUUUCUAGAGUUUCUCCUUCUAAUUCUUCUAUGAAUAAUGAUCGGUUGGGGCAUUGUGCAGCAAAAUGACCGUAACCAUGGCACUUGAAGCAAUGGGAUCGAGAACUACUUCCUUUUGAUAACUCUCCUAUAGCUCCUUUUCUUUUAUCUUCUUUUCUCCCAAUAGGAUUUGUAAGUGGAGGUCCGUUACUAAGAGUUUG
rnacentral:lncRNA from 1 species